AGCAAGUAAAUCUACCCGAAGAAUUAGAAUCAUACCCGAAGAAUUAGGGCUUGGUUCGUGGCCUCGUUUGCUUCCGCUUAUUGAAGGAUUAGGGUUUCUUCCGGGAAGACCAGUCCCGAGAAGGGAAGCGUUGAGAAGUCCUCUCGCCAUGGGCGACGAGUACGAGGGGCUGGAACGGUUCGGAAUGGAGAAUGACUACGAGGGCGGUGAGUGGAUCGGCGGCGAGUUCUAUUAUCGCCGGAAGAAGGAGCGCCCCGUCCAGACCCGAGACGACGUCAUCUACGGUGCCUUCGCCGCCGGAUCCAGCGACUCCGACUCCGACGGUGGCGGAGGCCGCCGUUCCCGGAAGCGCCGCAAGGGGGACCUCGUCUCCAAGCCCGACCUCUCCAAGCCCGUACGCUUCGUCUCUACCGGUACCGUCAUGCCCAACCAGGAAAUCGAUCGGGAUCUCAAGGAGGAGGGUAACCGUGCCGCCGAGGCUCCUGAUCUUAGCCAGGGGCUGGGAUAUGGCUUAGGGUUCCGGGCCGACAAAAAGGAGCCCGAGGGCGAUGAGGAUGAGGACGAGGAUAGCUUCCUCCCGACGGCCUUUGGGAGGAAAAUCAAGGAAGGGGCGCAGCGACGGGAGAAGGAGAAGGAGUGGGAGAGAGAGAAAUCGAAGACGGCCAAGAAACCCCUCGGGAAAAGGGACGUUUCAGGUGCGGACGAGAUUGGGAAGAUCCAGUCCUACACGAAGGGCAUAGGAUUUAAGCUCAUGAAGAUGAUGGGGUACAAGGAAGGAUCUGGAUUGGGGAAGAAUGAGCAAGGUAUUGUUGCCCCAAUUGAGGCGAAGCUCCGUCCAAAGAACAUGGGAAUGGGGUUCAAUGACUACAAAGAAGCCAAAUUGCCAGCCCUGGAUGAGCCACUGCAGGAGAAGGCGGCCUCCUCAGUACUGCCCGGACGUUCAAAGGAAAAGAGGUGGUUGAAGCAGAAACAAGGGAAGAAGAAAGUUGAAAUUUUGACAGCAGAUGAGCUGCUUGCCAAGAAGCAGGAACAAGGUAUCGAGGUUGUCCAGAAGGUUCUUGAUAUGAGGGGACCACAAGUUAAGGUUUUGAUGAGUCUGGAGAAUUUGAAUGCCGAGGACGAGAUGAAAGAGAAUGAGGUGCCCAUGCCUGAGCUCCAGUAUAAUGUGAGGCUAAUUGUGGACUCUACCGAGGUUGACAUACAAAAGCUUGAUCGGGAUUUGAGGAGGGAGAGGGAGAAGGUGGUUAGCUUGCAGAUGGAGAAAGAGAAGAUUUUGAAGGAAGAGAUGAGACAGAGGCAGCAGCUACAAGUGAUGGAGACGAUUGCUGGAGUAUUAGAAAGGGUGAAAGACGAUAACUUGUCAGGGGUGCUGACACUUGAUUCACUGUUGGCUACAUUCAGAGACAUUAAAGAGAGGUUCAGGGAGGACUACAAGCUCUGCAACAUCUCGUGUGUUGCCUGUGCAUUUGCAUACCCCUUACUGCUCCGUGUCUUUCAAGGAUGGGAGCCAUUGCAGAAUCCCUUGCAUGGCAUGAGUCUUAUAUCAUCUUGGAGGGACUUGUUGCAAGGGGAUCAACCUCAUGAUUUCUCCGAAAGUCUUUCGACUGCUUCUCCUUAUGCUCAGCUGGUCAGCGAGGUUAUUCUCCCUGCAGUGAGGAUAUCGGGGACUAACACAUGGCAGGCUAGGGAUCCAGAGCCAAUGCUUCGAUUUUUGGAAGCAUGGGAAAGGUUACUGCCUCCGGUGGUUCUGCAGUCAGUUUUGGAGAAUGUGGUUAUGCCAAAGCUAACGGCCGCUGUUGAGACAUGGGAUCCACGUCGAGAGACUGUUCCGAUUCAUGUUUGGGUUCACCCAUGGCUCCCCUUGCUAGGACAGAGAUUGGAGACCUUAUACCAAACAAUUCACUACAAGCUAGGUAGUGUUCUUCAUGUUUGGCAUGCAAGUGAUGCAUCAGCUUAUGCUGUACUUUCUCCAUGGAAGGAUGUUUUUGAUGCAGCUAGUUGGGAGGAUCUGAUGGUGCGGUAUAUUGUUCCAAAGUUAAGGAUUGCUCUGCAGGAAUUUCAAGUGAACCCAGCUAAUCAGAAUUUAGAUCAGUUUAAUUGGGUGAUGAUGUGGGCAUCUGUGAUCCCAAUUCACCAUAUGGUUCACAUGUUGGAGGUUGAUUUCUUCAGCAAGUGGCAGCAAGUGUUAUAUCAUUGGCUGUGCUCAAAUCCUAACUACAAUGAAGUUAUGCAGUGGUAUAUGGGUUGGAAGGGCCUCUUCCCAGCAGAACUACUAGCCAAUGAGCGGAUUCGAAUGCUCCUAAGUGCAGGUUUGGAUAUGAUGAACCAGGCUGUAGAAGGCAUGGAAGUGGUGCAACCUGGUGCUAGAGAGAAUGUCAGCUAUCUAAGAGCUACAGAAAAGCGACAGUUUGAAGCACAGCAGCAGACAGCGGCUUAUUCAUCAGUCCAUGUAAAUGGUAUGGCCAGUGUGCAUGAAAUGAGCUUUAAGGAAUCUAUUGAGGCUUAUGCAAUGGAGCAAGGCCUCCUCUUCUUACCCAAAGUUGGUAGAUCUUAUAAUGGUCUCCCUGUAUAUGGCUUUGGCAAUGUAAGCAUUUGUAUAGACUCAGUGAAGCAACUGCUUUAUGCACAAGUCCAGGAGGGAACUGAGAGAUGGAGUGCUGUAUCGCUCACACAGUUGCUGGAGAUGCAUCAGAAUGCCGCUCGUCGUUGAAUCAAUGUCAUUCUUCUCACCCCCACAUUGCCUGCAUUAAACUAGCAGUAGGCCAUGGCAGUGAGAAGAAGGGGAGGAUCUUAUUGCAGAUACACUUUGUGUUGUUUUAGCCUCACCUCGGUCCCCCACUUUGACAACCUUGACAUCUUUCAUCGCUGUCCAUGUCUGCUUUCCAUCAUCAUCAGCAAAGGCAAGCAAGUGAGAUCCUCAGUACUAGGAAGAAUUCUUACUGCCGAGACCUGUGAGUUAAACAAAUUAUGCAGCUAUUGGAAACUUCGUUAAUAAAUCUGGAUAAGAUCUGUGGGGAAGCAAAUAUCAAGUUGGUCAUUCCACGCUCUUAUGGUCUUACAGGUAUGGUUAGAAUAAGCAUCAAGGUAACCAAAAAAGUAUAUAGAUGGUUAUAGAUCUUGCUUCCUUUUCUAAGUCUCCAUACUUCUGUUUCUCAUUCACACAAGUAAUUUUAUUGGAUGCCCAUGUGAGUUCUCCUUUGAACAUUGAUAGGAGCACAUCAUAAUUGAGAUAAAACCUGUUCAUUUUCUAGACGACCUCUGAAUUCACAAUCCUGGUCUGAGCUCAUAGAGUGAGUAUUUUAUGUCAUUUUUUAAAAAAAAUUAAAAUAACAAACACGGUUGACUUAUUAUUGUAUUUAAGUUUCUUUAUUUUUCACUUGUAAUGAUUACGAGACCUUACCUUACUCUCUGUUUGAUUUGAGCUCUGGUGAUAAACAUUAAUAACCCUUAUGUAUUCUUAUUAUUGUAUAAUUUUAAGGGUUCUGAAAAGCAAUUGACUUAAGUGUCAUAGAUCCAGUUAUACACAAACAUAAGACAUAUAUAGUUAUUCUUAUUAACCUUGCAGAAAACAAUGAACCAAAGAAUAUGUUGGAUGCUUGCUAUCUAAAAGAAAGACUUUAAGGGGCAGGAUUUGAUUUCUGUAGGCUUAUGUUUUUUUAGUAUGUACUAGGGGUAUUUAAAUCAAUUCGAAUUGAACUGUUAAGGGUUAAAUCGAUCUAAAUCAUUUUUUCGGUUCGAUUCGAUUUAAAUAAGGUAGUUCGAAUUGGAACCGAUAUGGAUCUACCUACUCAAAUCGAUUCAAAAUCGAUUAAUCUGAUUUGAUUAAUCAAUUUAUAAUUUUAAAUAAUAUAUAUAUAUAUAUAUAUAUAUAUUUCAAAUGAGCAGGUUCAAUUCAAUUGAAUCAAAUUGAAAUUUUGAUUCAGUUGUGCGACACAACAAGAUUUGUAAAAUUGAGCCCAUGUCAUUUGUAAAAUUGGGUCUUUGGGCUAGUUUGAUUAAUCGGUUUGAACCGGUUAAGAGCUUAGGAUAGUAAACUCAACCGGAUUGAUAUCUCUUAAAUUAAAUUUGGUUCGAAUCAGUUAACCAAAUUAAUAAAAGGUACCCUCGAUCCAAAACUAUUUAUAGUCUUUAAAACUGAACCAUUGGUGAAUCGAUCCUAACCCAAUCGGUUUUGAACAGGUUCAGUUCCGAUUUGAUUCAGUUUUCCGAUUCAAUUUGAACAUCCCUAGUGUAUCCAUGUCUUUAAUCAUUAGAUGUUUGCUCUUUGAUUAUUGUUUCGUGUUUUUAUACAGGAUUUAAGAACAUAUGCAUAAUAUAAUUGAAGAAAACUAUUAAGAAGCUCUCGAAGCCUCAUUUAAGGUGUCAAUUUCUCGAGGAAUUAGUAAGUUUUUGUGUGAAACAUUUGCAAUUUAAUUUAUCAAACGAAUUAUGUAAGUUGUAGCUUUAUGGUUCAGUUGCACUCACCAUGGUGUAGAUGAUAUAUCUGGUAGAGCUAUAAAAUGUCUUUCGUUUCAGUCUUGAGAUGAAUAAUCUGUGAACUUGUUGAUCAUCGACUACUACUGUAGCAUAAGUCUCUACAUGGAAAUAGCAUAGCAGAAUCAUUAUUGGAAUCCCAUGGAUGUUUUGAUAUAUUUUCUUUGAAUAUAAAUUUUGUACUAGCAGUUACACGGAAUUAACAAUUAUUGUGAUAGAAUCAUCACCAGAAUCUGAUAAAUAUGCUUAAUUUGCUUUCUAUGGAACAUCGCAUGUGUUCCAUUUGAUGCUGCAAUAAACUAAAGAGACGACUGUCUCAUAGGUUUGUCUUCACGAAUAUGAAGGGUAAUAGAAUUAGUGCUACAAUUGAGAUGUAAUUUGUCAUGCUGUAAGGUUCUGAGCUGCUUCAAAUUGUGAAUGAUAGAUCUGUUGAAGUUGAUUCAAGAUCCUCAAAUGUAUUAAUAUGUUUACAUGUCUUUGAGGGAGUUUUCCUUUUAAGGUAUAUUUGUAUACUGGGGAUUCAUAAUAUACAUACAAUCAAACAAGUGAUCACUUUAUACAAAUCCUAAAAUUAUUUGAUGCAUCAACCUUUGGUAUUCA